UUUUCAGAGAUGAGAAUGUGCCUUCGGGAACCGUGAGACAGGUGCUGCAUGGCUGUCGUCAGCUCGUGUUGUGAAAUGUUGGGUUAAGUCCCGCAACGAGCGCAACCCUUAUCCUUUGUUGCCAGCGGUCCGGCCGGGAACUCAAAGGAGACUGCCAGUGAUAAACUGGAGGAAGGUGGGGAUGACGUCAAGUCAUCAUGGCCCUUACGACCAGGGCUACACACGUGCUACAAUGGCAUAUACAAAGAGAAGCGACCUCGCGAGAGCAAGCGGACCUCAUAAAGUAUGUCGUAGUCCGGAUUGGAGUCUGCAACUCGACUCCAUGAAGUCGGAAUCGCUAGUAAUCGUGGAUCAGAAUGCCACGGUGAAUACGUUCCCGGGCCUUGUACACACCGCCCGUCACACCAUGGGAGUGGGUUGCAAAAGAAGUAGGUAGCUUAACCUUCGGGAGGGCGCUUACCACUUUGUGAUUCAUGACUGGGGUGAAGUCGUAACAAGGUAACCGUAGGGGAACCUGCGGUUGGAUCACCUCCUUACCUUAAAGAA
rnacentral:rRNA from 1 species